UUUUUUUUUUUUUUUUUUUUAACAUUGGUGCUCUUAAAAGGGAUAAAUCUGAAUUAUGUAGUUCAAGCUGAAAUAGAGCUUUUCUCUAAAAAGAGGAGCAAAUACCAGAUAUUAAUGGUCUUGCCACCUGAUACUCAACUGCCCAGAAGCCACCAAAGGUACGGGAUGACCACCACCGAAGUUUCCUUGGCUCAUUGGCUCCUCUGUUUUGUUCUUCUAUGUGACUGUUAGCAUAUCUCAUUCCAUUUAAAAAUCCAUAAGUACGGCAUAAUCUGGCCUAGAGACGUUUACGCUGCGGAAGGCGGAGCAGGACAGCAGCUAGACCUGGAGACCGUUCACCGGGCGGUAGCAAGCAGGACGGUGCUGUAGCCAACACGCCUGGGUUCAAGUGCCAGCUCUGUCGCUUAUGUUCUAUGGGACUUCGGAAGUCGUCCUACUCCAUUUGGCAAUAGUUCGACCUCAGGGAGGGCAGGGAAGCAGGGAGGGACAGAGGGAGCAGGAGAGAGAAUCUUUAAGCUCCACACUGAGCAUGGAGUCUGAUGUGGGGCUCGAUCUCGUGACCCUGAGAUCGUGACCGGAGCUGAAAUCAGGAGUCAGGUGCUCAACCGGCUGAGCACCCCCCUCCCCGCCCGGCGCCCCUGGUGAGUUCUAAGUGAGGAACUCCAGCCUCGUCUGAUCUUAUUCUAGAAUUCCUGAUUUAUAUAAGCAUUUCUCCCCGGCUACCUGAUGGGCAUAUGAAAUCUAACACAUACCAAAGAGAACUUUUAAUUCCAACCCCCCCCAAACUUACAUACAGUGUCCUUCUUCCCCUUUUCGUCAAGAAGCAGCAGCACCCAGUAGUUACUCAGGCCAACAAGCUACCAUUACUCCUUCUGCUUCCUACUCAACCUCUCAACCAAACUUGCAUCACGUCCUGUUGACUCCAGCUGCACAUGUGCUUUAAAUCUGCCCACUGCUUGGCCCCACUUUCAACCUAGGUGAAGCCAAUCUGCUGUCCCUCUGGACUUUGCCAAUCACCAUCUCCCUGAUCCUACUCUUGUGAAAUGGGAUAAUCCACUUAGAAAGGCACUUGGCACAAAGUUCUCAGUCAAUGUCAACUAUUUUUUUUUUUAAUGUCAACUAUUAUUCUACAAAUAUUUCCCAAGUCCUAUUAUGCAUCAGGCAGAGCGCGAAGCACAGGGGAAGCAGCAGUGAAUAGGGCCCUCCCACUGCAAGUGUUAACAACCCAGUAUGAUGAAAGUCAUGGAAAAAGCACCGGGUGUUCCUCAGAUCUACACAGGGAGAGGUCAGGAAGGACUCCUGCAGUAAACCGUGUUGAUCUUGAGGGGUUGAGAAGAUCAAGAAUAGAGGAAGGGGGAGAAGGAACAUAUUAGAAGCCUGUAGAUGGGGGCAGAGGUGGGGAGGAAGGGGAUGGCGGGAUCACUUAGUGGAAGAGGCAUCCUGUAGAAGGUACAGGUUGGGCAUUCUGGACGUGCUGAAUUUGGGAAUCUGCAAGUCAUGUACUUGGAGGUUUCUGUAGGCAGCUGGACACAGGGCUCUGGAGGGCAAGGGCAUGGUCUCAGCUGGGCACCCAGGUCUGGGGGUUGCUAACACAUAGUGGGUAACACAAACCCUGAGUGGAUGAGACCAUCCAGGGAUUGUGACAACCAUCUCACUAUAAACGAUAUUCUUUCUCAUGAGCAUCAGUCUCGAAUCCAUUACUUUAGACUCGACCCUUCACUCUCCAAUCAUCGACUUUAGCUGCAAAUGUAGUUACAAUCUGCAGUGGAGGAGAGUCUUGGUUGGUUGAGUUCUCUAUGUGCAAGAGGGGCUGCUACAACUGGCAUCCUACUCUGAAUGGGUAGUACAACAAAUGUGUGUUCAAAGAAAUGACAAUUGUCGUUUAUUUCGUGGUCAUGACCCGUCAUCAUCAGCCUUCACUUAUUCAGAGACAGUAAACAGGAAAUGCUACUUGCAUAACCAGUCUUCCAGAAACCCUUCUGGAGAGCAGCAUGGCCAAAUCAUGAAGGUCAGAGCUCUAGUACAGAAUGCAAAUUCAGCUUUACAUUCCACAUAAUGGAAAUUGGAAGAAAAGCGGGCUUGCAUAGUUUGUUUGACCUAUUGUAGUGUCCUGUGUAUAUCCUAAAAGAGGGGCUAUCCAAGGGUUGAUGUAAAUAAAACUUUUGAGUAUACGAGCUAGAAGGGGAAAAAGAAAAGAUACUUUAAAAAACUCGCCUCCAUUUCUCUUAAAUUAUGAAGGCCUGUAUUGGCCCCAAGUACAAUCCGGUGUCUGCUGAGCCAGUUGAGAGCAUAAUCCCAAUUCUCCAGAGCAUGGGGCAGGCCUCAGGUCCUGCAUCAGCCGGAGCUGCUGGGUGUAAAGCAGAGCACCCCACAAGAAGACACCUGCUUGUCCUGAAUGAGGGCUUUGUCCCCCAACUGCAGUGCCACACGAGGGUAACUUCGGGGCCCAGGCCAGUUAAGUGGCAGCUACAAGGCAGGAAACAACGCCGGGGCCGCUGUGGCUGGGCGGCUGCAGUUCCCCAGCGGCUGCGGGUCCCUAGCACCCCUCUGGCGCUAGCUCCAGCCCCCCGUGAUGGGAGCUAGCUCAUGCCUAGAGUAUAUACAACUCUGCCUCAGGAAAGGUGUCUCUGGAGGAAUGCUCCAUGGGGCAGCACAAGUCGGUCUUCUUUUGGGUUCCUUUUUUUUUCCAAGAUUUUACUCACUUAUUCAUGAGAGACACACAGAGAGAGGCAGAGACACAGGCAGAGGGAGAAGCAGGCUCCCUGCGGGGAGCCCAAUGGGGGACUCACAGCACUCGAUCACAGGACCCCGGGAUCCCAGGACCCUGGGGUCAUGCCCUGAGCCCAAGGCAGACGCUCCACCGCUGAGCCACCAGGCGUCCCUUCUUUUGGUUUCCUGAAGUCAAAGGCUGCCUGGCGAUACCCCUAUCUCCUGCAAGGGCAACCAACCUUGGGUGGGCAACUCUGGCCAGCUGGGCAAGGGGGGAGCUCAUUCUCACCUGUCCUGAGUCAUGGCUGGUAUUUAUAGGACCCACCUGUGAGGCCCCGUGGGAAGGACACAGCCUAGUCUUGGGGAGGGAUGGAAGGGGAGUUGGCCUGGGCAGCAGCAGCAGAGGGCUCUGGCUCUCUGCCUCCCACAGGUGGCUGGAGCUGCACAGUCUAACGCUUUGAGCCUCGGUCUCGCCACUGGAAGGACGGGGCGACUCCGCUGGGUCACCUCCUGUCUCUCCCCACAGGCCUCCAGCACAGUGAAGAAGUGGGGUUGGGCUACCUAUGCGAAGUUCCUCUGGUCCUGCUUUCUGUACGUGUCACAAAAGACAAGGAGCUCCUGGGGUGCCGCCAACGUGCUACAACUGCUCGGCGAGGUGGCUGCAAGGCCCCGCAGGUGAAUGAGCGCUCGAAAUAGGACUUGCUAUGACCCCAAAUCGGAAUUUUCAAUUUUAGUUAAUUUGAAUCCAUUUAAAAUUCAAAUUUGAAAGUCGACUAGUUGAGCCAAUUUUUGGAAAGUUUCAGGUAUGAACUUCUGAACAACUGAUUAAGUAUUUCCAAUGACAGUUUUACAUAUGAAUUAAGAUGGGAUGUGUUUACACCGGAGUAUAUUUCCAAAGACUGAGUGCCCCCUCAAAAAAAUGUAAAAUAUCUCAGUAAUUUUGAUAUUAAUUAUACGUUUAAAUAAGUAGUGAUCUUGGAUAUAUCAGGAUACAUAAAGUAUAUUAAUGAAAUUAAUGUCACACAUUUUUCUCUUUUAAUGUGGCUACUAGAAAACCUAAACAUGCAUAUGACUCACACUACGUAUUGCUAUUGGAUGGUACGAUCCUAGAAAAAUCUCUCUAAAAUCUUGAUAGCCUAGCCUCCCAGUUACCCAGGGCCUGGCCCUACCCAGUCACUGUCAUCUGUCACCUUCGCUCCUGCCCAGGAAUGGAGGCUCUUGGUGGGGCUGCCUUUAUGCAGGGCUGUAGGCUUAGGGCAGAACUUCAGACUUCACAUCUCACUACAUGUCACAGACAUUUUUUUCUUGAUUUUUUAAAAGUAAACUCUACUCCCCACAACGAGGAGCCCGAACGCACCCCCGAGAUCAAGAGGCUCACGCUCUACUGACUGAGCCCGCCCGCCAGGUGCCCCCUGUCAUGGCCUUUUCAGUAAUUACAACUCCAGGGCAAUGAUAAAACUAGAGCGAAAAUCCCAGGCAAAGCAUGUGUCCUAAGAGGGCAAAUUUACAAAUACAGUUCUGGAAUUUAGCGAAGGGGCAAAGACCCCGGCUGUUGUUGGGGCAUCCGCCCUCCACAGUGACUGACCAUCCUCGGCCAACGGCCAACCCACCCGCAGUCUCACCCCAGUAGAGAAAAGAAACAAAGUAUCUGGGCCCCCGCAUUUCUAGAAGGCAGCUUUGUCCCUGUUCUGGCUCAAAAUGGCUCAAAAUACCUCCCUCACUCACAAAAAGAGUCUUUUUCAUUGUAAAAUAAACAAAACUAUACUAUAAAAAUAGUUGAGAAAGUAAAUGGGGGAGAAUAAUUAUUUCACUGCCUUGCUGCAAUCACUGUUAGCAUUUUAUGCAUUUUCUUCCAGAUUUUUAUUCUCCGUGUAAGGUUUCUUUUUAUCACGAAGUCUAGUGAAUGCACCAUACCGUAUCCUACUUUGUUACUUAACAUUUUAUCAUUACUGUUUUUCAUAUUAUUACAUGAGCUAGAAAUGCUCGGUGGGCAGAGGGAGGUGGCUAAAUUUAAUACUUGGGCGGGGGGGGAAGGAUAUUCUAGUUCGAGAAUUUGGAAAAGGCAUGGCUAGUCUAUAAGAACUUGUUAGUAUAAUUUAUGUCGUUUUUGAGACAAACAACCAACAGGCAGUGUGGCUCUGGAGUUUACCCUGCUAUACUGGGAAUCUUGGCUUUGCCACUUGCAGCUUUGGGGAACUUAAGAUUUUUAGUAACCUUCUGGUGCCUCAGUUUUUUCAUCUCUAAAAUGGGGAUCAGAGGGCCAAGGUGAGGAUUGUGUAUCCCUCAGAAUAGUGCCUGACACAUUACAGGCAGCCAGUAAAUUUUAACUCAGAGUAUUAAAUAUAACUUGGAAUACUUAAGUCCAUUCCAAGCCUGCUGUGUGACUGACUGUAGGCCAUUUAGCAUCUUUGGGUCCAAAUGUCUGUAUCUGCAAAAUGUUUAAAUAACAACUAGACCUAUAAUCUGCUGAAGACUUGUAUGUGACAGUGAGUUGAGGUACUUACUUGUCAUGUUUUACUAAUAGGAAACUGAGGCUCAGAAAUUAAGUAACUUGCUCGAAAGUGACAGAGCCGGUCAGGUGCGUAGCCAGCAUCCCAGCAUAAAUCUGGGCGGUUCCAAGUGUCUUGCUUUCCCUGCACACGAUUGCUCAGGCUCCUUUUCAGCCUCAGCUCUGGGUCUAUGAACUUCAAAGAACAGUGCUUUUCAGUUAGUCUUGGCUGCCAGUAGGCGGCUCCAAAAACAACAUUUUUAAAUCAAAAAAAAAAAAAAAAAAAAAAAAAAA
rnacentral:lncRNA from 1 species